ACAGAGGGUGCGAGCGUUGUUCGGAAUUACUGGGCGUAAAGCGCGCGCAGGCGGCUUUUUAAGUCUGCUGGUGAAAUGCCGGGGCUCAACCCCGUGCCCGCCACAGAUACUGGGAAGCUGGAGACGAGUAGAGGCAAGCGGAAUUCCGGGUGUAGCGGUGGAAUGCGUAGAGAUCCGGAGGAACACCGAUGGCAAAGGCAGGUCUCUGGGCCAUUACUGACACUGAGAAGCGAAAGCAUGGGGAGCGAACAGGA
rnacentral:rRNA from 1 species